AGCGAACGCUGGCGGCAGGCCUAACACAUGCAAGUCGAACGGAUCCUUCGGGAUUAGUGGCGGAAGGGUGAGUAACACGUGGGAACGUGCCCUUUGGUUCGGAACAACUCAGGGAAACUUGAGCUAAUACCGGAUGUGCCCUUCGGGGGAAAGAUUUAUCGCCAUUGGAGCGGCCCGCGUCUGAUUAGCUAGUUGGUGAGGUAAAGGCUCACCAAGGCGGCGAUCAGUAGCUGGUCUGAGAGGAUGAUCAGCCACAUUGGGACUGAGACACGGCCCAAACUCCUACGGGAGGCAGCAAUGGGGAAUCUUGCGCAAUGGGCGAAAGCCUGACGCAGCCAUGCCGCGUGAAUGAUGAAGGUCUUAGGAUUGUAAAAUUCUUUCACCGGGGACGAUAAUGACGGUACCCGGAGAAGAAGCCCCGGCUAACUUCGUGCCAGCAGCCGCCGUAA
rnacentral:rRNA from 1 species